rnacentral:tRNA from 1 species
GGGGGUAGUGUUAUUGGCACAAAAGUUUUUGGAGCUUUAAGAAAUCUAUCAGAGGGUUCCUUUCUAA